UUAAAUGUCUCAGCGUUUUGGCCAAGAUCAAUUGUAGUAUCCGUUCUUAUCAGUUUAAUAUCUGAUGUGUUCCUUAUCUGUUUUCAAAGCCCUCUUGUGGCUCUGUAGUAGUGUCCCUAGCCUUGGACUGGGAGGCCUAAUUCAAAUCUUACAUACCUGCUCCAGAGGUAUGUAAUAGCAUCUAU